UACGUAGGGUGCGAGCGUUAAUCGGAAUUACUGGGCGUAAAGCGUGCGCAGGCGGUUUUGUAAGCCGGAUGUGAAAUCCCCGGGCUUAACCUGGGAAUGGCAUUCGGGACUGCAAGGCUGGAGUGCGGCAGAGGAGACUGGAAUUCCUGGUGUAGCAGUGAAAUGCGUAGAUAUCAGGAGGACACCGAUGGCGAAGGCAGGUCUCUGGGCUGACACUGACGCUGAGGAGCGAAAGCGUGGGGAGCGAACAGG
rnacentral:rRNA from 1 species